UUGGAGGGCAAGUCUGGUGCCAGCAGCCGCGGUAAUUCCAGCUCCAAUAGCGUAUAUUAAAGUUGUUGCAGUUAAAAAGCUCGUAGUUGAACUUCGGGAUUUGCCCAUUGGUCAGGCUUAACUGUCUGCACUGGUGUGACGAGUUCCUACCUUCUGAGGAAUCUCCAUGUCAUUCAGUUGGUGUGGGGGGAAAUCAGGACUGUUACUUUGAAAAAAUUAGAGUGUUUAAAGCAGGCGUCCGUCUGAAUACAUUAGCAUGGAAUAAUAAAAUAGGACGGUUUGGUUCUAUUUUGUUGGUUUCUAGGAUCACCGUAAUGAUUAAUAGGGAUAGUCGGGGGCAUUAGUAUUCAAUUGUCAGAGGUGAAAUUCUUGGAUUUAUUGAAGACUAACUACUGCGAAAGCAUUUGCCAAGGAUGUUUUCAUUAAUCAAGAACGAAAGUUAGGGGAUCGAAGACGAUCAGAUACCGUCGUAGUCUUAACCAUAAACUAUGCCGACUAGGGAUCGGACGAAGUUAAUUUUUUAAUGACUCGUUCGGCGCCUUACGGGAAAC
rnacentral:rRNA from 1 species